GAUGAACGCUGGCGGUAUGCCUAACACAUGCAAGUCGUACGAGAGUUUUUAACUCUAGUGGCGGACGGGUGAGUAACACGUGAGAAUUUACCUUUAGGAGGGGGAUAACAAUUGGAAACGAAUGCUAAUACCCCAUAUGCUUUUGAGUGAAAUGGAUUUAGAUUUAUCCGCCUAAAGAGAAGCUCGCGGCUGAUUAGCUUGUUGGUAAGGUAAGAGCUUACCAAGGCGACGAUCAGUAUCUGGUUUGAGAGGACGAUCAGACACACUGGAACUGAGACACGGUCCAGACUCCUACGGGAGGCAGCAGUGGGGAAUUUUCCGCAAUGGGCGAAAGCCUGACGGAGCAAUACCGCGUGAGGGAUGACUGCCUAUGGGUUGUAAACCUCUUUUUUCAGGGAGGAAUAAAUGACGUGUAC
rnacentral:rRNA from 1 species